rnacentral:rRNA from 1 species
AGAGACGAGUCAGAGUUUGAUCCUGGCUCAGGACGAACGCUGGCGGCGUGCUUAACACAUGCAAGUCGAACGAUGAAGCGGUGCUUGCACCGUGGAUUAGUGGCGAACGGGUGAGUAAUACGUGAGUGACCUACCUUUGACUCUGGGAUAAGCCUGGGAAACUGGGUCUAAUACCGGAUACGACCAAUCUCUGCAUGGGGUGUUGGUGGAAAGCGUUAUGGAGUGGUUUUAGAUGGGCUCACGGCCUAUCAGCUUGUUGGUGAGGUAAUGGCUUACCAAGGCGACGACGGGUAGCCGGCCUGAGAGGGUGACCGGCCACACUGGGACUGAGACACGGCCCAG